AUGGACGCCGCCGGCGAGAUCCAUCGCGGGUUCGGGGGCCUGCGGCGGGGGGGGAGCUCGAACGCCUUCUCGCGGUCGUCCCACCGCGCGGACGAGCACGACGACGAGGAGGCGCUGCGGUGGGCGGCGCUGGAGCGGCUGCCCACCCGCGACCGCGCCCGGACGGCGGUGCUCGACCACUUCCCGGGGCGGGACGACGGCGUCAGGGCGGUCGACGUCGGCAGGCUCGGCGCGGGCGAGCGGGCCGCGCUGCUCCGGCGCGUGGCCAGCGUCGCCGACGACCACGGCCGGUUCCUCGCCCGGUUCAAGGAGCGCGUCGACCGGGUCGGGGUCGAGCUGCCCACCAUCGAGGUCAGGUACGAGAGCCUCUGCGUGGAGGCCGAGGCGUACGUGGGGAGCCGCGGCCUGCCCACCAUCCUCCAUACCUACGCCAAUGUGCUCGAGGGAAUGGCAAAUUCUCUGCACAUCACACCAAAUAGGAAGCAGAAGAUAUCAGUCCUUCACAAUGUCAGCGGGACCAUCAAGCCGCACAGGAUGACCUUGCUUUUGGGUCCUCCUGGUGCUGGGAAAACGACGCUGCUCCUGGCGUUGGCGGGGACGCUCCCUUCAAGCCUUGAGAUGUCAGGCAAAAUAACAUACAACGGGCAUACGAUGGAUGAGUUUGUGCCCCGGAGGUCGGCGGCUUAUGUGAGCCAAAACGAUCUACAUAUCGGUGAACUGACGGUUCGUGAGACGGUCAACUUCUCUGCAAAAUGCCAAGGAAGUGGUCACCGAUUCGAUCUGCUGAUGGAGCUAUCGAGGAGAGAAAAGGAAGCAAAUAUCAAACCUGAUCCAGAAAUAGAUGUCUACUUGAAGGCUGCUGCAACAGGAGAACAGAAAGCUGAGGUGGUCACGAAUCACAUACUAAAGAUCCUGGGAUUGGAUAUGUGCGCCGACACAAUCGUAGGAAAUAACAUGUUGAGAGGAAUAUCAGGAGGGCAAAAAAAGAGAGUGACCACAGCUGAGAUGCUCGUCACACCAGGACGGGCCCUUUUCAUGGACGAAAUAUCAACUGGACUUGACAGUUCGACUACCUUCCAGAUUGUGAACUCCAUCCGGCAAACUAUUCACAUUCUUGGCGGAACAGCAGUUAUUUCCUUGCUGCAACCUGCACCUGAGACAUAUGAAUUGUUUGACGAUAUAAUUCUCCUCUCAGACGGUCAGGUUGUCUACAAUGGCCCCCGUGAACAUGUGCUUGAGUUUUUUGAAUCAGUGGGUUUCAAAUGUCCCGAGAGAAAAGGUGUAGCUGACUUCUUGCAGGAGGUUACAUCAAGGAAAGAUCAGAGACAGUACUGGAUACACAGUGACGAGACAUACCGAUAUGUUGCUGUGAAGAACUUUGCAGAGGCAUUUCAAUCUUUCCAUGUUGGUCAGGCUAUAAGAAGUGAGUUGUCUGUCCCAUUUGACAAGAGCAGGAGCCAUCCUGCUGCCCUGAAAACAUCAAAAUAUGGUGCCAACAUGAAAGAGCUGCUUAAAGCUAACAUCAACAGAGAGAUGUUGCUCAUGAGAAGAAACUCCUUUGUGUAUAUAUUCAAGGCAACUCAGUUGACGCUAAUGGCAAUCAUCACAAUGACGGUCUUUCUUCGGACAAAUAUGCAUCAUGACUCGAUAACAAAUGGAGGGAUAUACAUGGGUGCACUGUUCUUUGGGAUCGUGAUGAUCAUGUUCAAUGGGUUAGCAGAAGUGGGCCUAACUGUUGCAAAGCUCCCUGUUUUCUUCAAACAAAGGGAUCUCCUCUUCUUUCCAGCAUGGACGUAUUCCUUGCCAUCAUGGAUCAUUAAAACACCCCUCUCCUUGCUGAAUGCAUCAAUAUGGGUCUUCAUAACAUACUACGUCAUUGGAUUUGAUCCCAAUGUAGAGAGACUUUUUAGACAGUUCCUGCUCCUCUUAGUAAUGAGUGAGACGGCAUCUGGCCUCUUCCGCUUCAUUGCUGGUCUUGCAAGGAAUCAGAUUGUUGCGAACACCAUUGGUUCAUUCUUCUUAUUAAUCUGUAUGCUUACAGGCGGAUUCGUCCUGUCAAGAGAGAAUGUGAAGAAAUGGUGGAUAUGGGGGUAUUGGAUAUCACCGCUGAUGUAUGCACAAAAUGCCAUAUCAGUAAAUGAAUUCCUAGGUGACAGCUGGAAUAAGACAAUCACCGGUUUCAAAGAACCACUUGGAAGACUAGUUCUGGAAUCCCGUGGAAUGCUUACUGAGGCAAAAUGGUAUUGGAUUGGUGUUGGUGCAUUGCUCGGAUAUGUGCUGCUAUUCAAUGCCCUCUACACUAUCUGCCUCACAUUUCUCAAACCAUUUGACAGCAGUCAGCAAACAAUAUCUGAGGAAACGAUGAAGAUAAAACAGGCUAAUUUAACGGGUGAAAUUCUGGAAGAAACAUCAACACUCGAUACUGCAGAUGAGAGCAACGGUGAAUCAACUUCAAACAACGCAACAGUGAAUUCUUGUCCAAGCAAGAAAGGAAUGAUCCUCCCUUUUACACCUCUCUCCCUCACAUUCGAAGAUAUAAGAUACAGUGUAGACAUGCCAGAGGAAGUCAAAGCACAAGGUGUGAAAGAGGACCGAUUGGAACUGCUGAAGGGUAUCAGUGGUUCAUUUAGGCCAGGUGUGCUUACAGCUCUCAUGGGUGUCAGUGGUGCCGGUAAGACCACACUGAUGGAUGUGCUGGCUGGAAGAAAGACAAGUGGAUACGUAGAGGGCAGCAUUACAAUAUCUGGCUACCCAAAGAAGCAAGAAACUUUUGCUCGUGUGUCAGGAUACUGUGAACAGAAUGAUAUCCAUUCACCAAAUGUGACCGUCUACGAGUCCCUUGCAUUCUCUGCAUGGCUACGAUUGCCAGCUGAUGUUGAUUCCUCAACAAGAAAGAUGUUCAUCGAUGAGGUCAUGGAGCUUGUGGAGCUUUCCCCCUUAAAAGAUUCAUUGGUUGGACUACCUGGUGUGACUGGAUUAUCAACUGAGCAAAGGAAAAGACUAACAAUUGCAGUGGAGCUGGUAGCUAACCCUUCUAUAAUUUUCAUGGAUGAACCGACAUCUGGACUUGAUGCAAGAGCUGCAGCCAUUGUCAUGAGGACAAUAAGGAAUACAGUGGAUACAGGAAGGACAGUAGUUUGCACAAUUCACCAACCAAGCAUCGACAUAUUUGAAUCUUUUGAUGAGCUCUUCCUGAUGAAACGAGGAGGUGAAGAGAUUUAUGUAGGUCCGCUGGGACGCCAUUCGUGUGAAUUGAUUAAAUAUUUUGAGGCUAUUGAAGGUGUGAGCAAGAUAAAAGACAGCUAUAAUCCUUCAACAUGGAUGCUGGAAGUGACUAGUGCAGUACAAGAACAGAUAACUGGGAUCAACUUCAGCCAAGUAUACAAGAAUUCUGAACUAUAUGGGAUGAACAAAAAUUUAAUAAAGGAGCUAAGCACACACCCCGAAGGUUCAAAUGACCUAUCCUUUCCAACGCAGUACUCGCAGACCUUCCUCACCCAAUGUUUCGCUUGCCUGUGGAAGCAAAGUCAGUCAUAUUGGAGAAAUCCCCCAUAUACUGCUGUCAAGUACUUCUACACCGUAGUAAUGGCACUGUUGUUUGGAACAAUGUUCUGGGGCAUUGGCAGGAAAAGGCAGAGUCAACAGGACUUGUUCAAUGCCAUGGGUUCCAUGUACGCCUCAGUUUUGUACAUGGGGGUACAGAAUUCCGCGACAGUUCAGCCAGUUGUGGCUGUUGAGCGCACUGUCUUUUAUAGGGAAAGAGCGGCUCACAUGUACUCGCCUUUGCCAUAUGCAUUGGGGCAGGUCGCAAUUGAGCUUCCAUACAUCUUUGUUCAGUCUUUAAUAUAUGGCGUGAUAGUGUAUGCCAUGAUUGGGUUCGAAUGGGAAGCUGUGAAGCUGUUCUGGUACCUGUUCUUCAUGUUCUUCACCCUAUCAUACUACACAUUUUACGGGAUGAUGACGGUGGGCCUGACUCCAAACUACAACAUCGCUUCCGUUGUUUCGUCAGCAUUCUACACCAUGUGGAACCUCUUCUCGGGAUUUAUAAUACCAAGAACGAGAAUCCCAAUAUGGUGGAGGUGGUAUUACUGGCUCUGCCCUGUUUCGUGGACACUGUAUGGUCUGGUAGUUUCACAGUUUGGGGACGUUACCGAGAAGUUGGACAAUGGCAUGCUCGUGUCCGAGUUUGUCGAGGGCUACUUCGGUUACCAUCACGACUUCCUGUGGGCGGUCGGUCUGGUGGUCGCCUCGUUUGCAGUUCUCUUCGCUUUCCUCUUCGGGCUCUCAAUCAAGCUAUUCAACUGGCAGAAGAGAUGA
rnacentral:rRNA from 1 species